GUAGGUGGCAAGCGUUGUCCGGAAUUAUUGGGGCGUAAAGCGCGCGCAGGCGGUUCUUUAAGUCUGAUGUGAAAGCCCACGGGCUCAACCGUGGAGGGUCAUUGGAAACUGGAGAACUUGAGUACAGAAGAGGAAAGCGGAAUUCCACGUGUAGCGGUGAAAUGCGUAGAGAUGUGGAGGAGCACCAGUGGCGAAGGCGGCUUUCUGGUCUGUAACUGACGCUGAGGCGCGAAAGCGUGGGGAGCAAACAGGAUUAGAUACCCUGGUAGUCCACGCCGUAAACGAUGAGUGCUAAGUGUUAGGGGGUUUCCGCCCCUUAGUGCUGCAGCUAACGCAUUAAGCACUCCGCCUGGGGAGUACGGCCGCAAAGGCUG
rnacentral:rRNA from 1 species